rnacentral:rRNA from 1 species
ACGGAAGGCGCAGUGAGGAAUAUUGGUCAAUGGACGGAAGUCUGAACCAGCCAUGCCGCGUGAAGGAAGGCGGCCCUAUGGGUUGUAAACUUCUUUUACCGCAGAGUAAUAAGCGGGAUGCGUCCCGUGAUGAGAGUAUGCGGCGAAUAAGCAUCGGCUAACCCCGUGCCAGCAGCCGCGGUAAUACGGAGGAUGCAAGCGUUAUCCGGAUUUAUUGGGUUUAAAGGGUGCGUAGGCGGAGCAUUAAGUCAGCGGUGAAAUAUCCCGGCUCAACUGGGAGGCUGCCGUUGAUACUGAUGGUCUCGAGUCCGAACGGCGCCGGCGGAAUAUGUAAUGUAGCGGUGAAAUGCAUAGAUAUUACAUAGAACACCGAUCGCGAAGGCAGCUGGCGAGGACGGCACUGACGCUGAGGCACGAAGGUGCGGGGAUCAAACAGGAUUAGAUACCCUGGUA